GACGAACGCUGGCGGCGUGCCUAAUACAUGCAAGUCGAACGCAGUGGUGACGGGUGAGUAACACGUGGGUAACCUCACAUCAGAGGGGAUAAAACUUCUAAACAGUUGCCAUACCGAUACUGAUGGAUGAAACCGCGUGGCAUUAGCUAGUUGGUGAGGUAACGGCCCACCAAGGCCACGAUGCCUAGCUGACCGGCGAGGUUGACCGCCCACACUGGACUUGAGACCCGGCCCAGACUCCUACGGUAGGCAGCAUGGGGGAAUCUUCGGCAAUGGACGAAAGCCUGACCGAGCAACGCGGCGUAAGUGAAGAAGGUUUUCGGGUCGUAAACCUCUGUUGUUAGGAAGGCGGUAGCUGACCAGAAAGCAACGGCUAACUACGUGCCAGCAGCCGCGGUAAUUC
rnacentral:rRNA from 1 species